rnacentral:rRNA from 1 species
UACAGAGGUCUCAACCGUUGUUCGGAUUCAUUGGGCGUAAAGGGUGCGUAGGCGGUCGCGCAAGUCGGAUGUGAAAUCUCAGGGCUCAACCCUGAAACUGCAUUCGAUACUGCGUGGCUAGAGUGCUGGAGAGGAGACUGGAAUUUACGGUGUAGCAGUGAAAUGCGUAGAUAUCGUAAGGAACACCAGUGGCGAAGGCGACUACCUGGCCUGUUCUUGACGCUGAGGCGCGAAAGCUAGGGGAGCAAACGGG